rnacentral:rRNA from 1 species
GGAAUUUUGCGCAAUGGGCGAAAGCCUGACGCAGCAACGCCGCGUGGAGGAAGAAGGCCUCCGGGUCGUAAACUCCUGUCCUGGGGGACGAAUGAAGUGACGGUACCCCGGGAGGAAGCCCCGGCUAACUCCGUGCCAGCAGCCGCGGUAAUCCGGGGGGCGCGAGCGUUGUUCGGAAUCCCGGGGCGUAAAGGGCGCGUAGGCGGCGCCGGAAGUCCUGGGUGAAAGCUCCCGGCUCAACCGGGAGAGUGCCUGGGAAACCACGGUGCUGGAGUGCUGGAGAGGGAGGCGGAAUUCCUGGUGUAGCGGUGAAAUGCGUAGAUAUCAGGAGGAACACCCGAGGCGAAGGCGGCCUCCUGGACAGACACUGACGCUGAGGCGCGAAAGCUAGGGGAGCAAAC